rnacentral:rRNA from 1 species
UACGGAAGGGGGCUAGCGUUGUCCGGAUUGACUGGGCGUAAAGCGCGCGUAGGCGGCUUUGCAAGUCGGGUGUGAAAUCCCCAGGCCUAACCUGGGAACUGCAUUCGAGACUGCAUUGCUAGAGUAUGGGAGAGGGAAGUGGAAUUUACGGUGUAGCAGUGAAAUGCGUAGAUAUCGUAAGGAAGGCCGGUGGCGAAAGCGAGCCUCUGGACAGUUACUGACGCUGAUGCACGAAGGCCAGGGGAGCAAACGGG